UACGUAGGGUGCGAGCGUUGUCCGGAAUUACUGGGCGUAAAGAGCUCGUAGGUGGUUUGUCGCGUUGUUCGUGAAAACUCACAGCUCAACUGUGGGCGUGCGGGCGAUACGGGCAGACUGGAGUACUGCAGGGGAGACUGGGAUUCCUGGUGUAGUGGUGGAAUGCGCAGAUAUCAGGAGGAACACCGGUGGCGAAGGCGGGUCUCUGGGCAGUAACUGACGCUGAGGAGCGAAAGCGUGGGGAGCGAACAGG
rnacentral:rRNA from 1 species